UGGGGAAUUUUGCACAAUGGGGGAAACCCUGAUGCAGCGACGCCGCGUGAUUUAGAAGGCCUUCGGGUUGUAAAAAUCUUUUGUAUGGGAAGAAAAUGACAGUACCAUACGAAUAAGGACCGGCUAAUUACGUGCCAGCAGCCGCGGUAAUACGUAAGGUCCGAGCGUUGUCCGGAAUCAUUGGGCGUAAAGGGCUUGUAGGCGGUUGGCCGCGUCUGCCGUGAAAUCCUCUGGCUUAACUGGGGGCGUGCGGUGGGUACGGGUUGAAUUGAGUGCGGUAGGGAAGACUGGAAUUCCUGGUGUAGCGGUGGAAUGCGCAGAUAUCAGGAGGAACACCGGUGGCGAAGGCGGGUCUCUGGGCCGUUACUGACGCUGAGGAGCGAAAGCGUGGGGAGCGAACAGG
rnacentral:rRNA from 1 species